UCCCCCGGUUCCCUCUGACCCAUCUGACAGCUCAAAGUGGGCCACCGCAUCACUGAUACCCAGCGAUGGAUCUGGAUCAAGGGAAAUCGGGGGGAUCUCGAAAACUUCAUCCCCCAGACUAGGAGUAUGAAAUGUCUGCUGUAUGUGCAGGAGAAGAGGUCAUUUUGAGGGUUCCAGUCAGAGUCAAAUAUAACACAAGUGUCAGCAGCAGUUAGGUUAAUACCCAGGCCACCAGCGCGGGUACACAGCAGGAAGACAAAGCGGUCUGAGUCGGGUUUGCUGAAACGAUCGAUGGCAGCCUGUCGCAAGUUCCCACGCACUCUACCAUCAAUUCGCUCAUAAAGAAAAACUGCAACAUAUACACUGCGGUCAUCAUACCUCUUGUUGAUGAGGUAGUCCUCCAGAAUGUCUAAGCAGCGCACCAUCUGGGAGAAGAUGAGCACUUUGUGGCCACCAGCCUUGAGGCGAGGCAGCAGCUUGUCCAGUAGCACCAGCUUACCAGCCGACCGAAUCAGAGCCUGCAAAUGGAAGUCAGGGGCCAGGGGGUCGUACACCUCCCGCAACUCCGCUACGAUCUUCUCCUCCGCACCUGAACAUAACAACGAGAACAUUUUGGUUUUAAAUAAAUAUGGUACCUGCUGGCAAAACCUGCAGUGCUGCCGCUGUAUUUUAGAAACAUCACAUGCUAAUAACAUCU